GAUGAAUGCCAGGCUGGGAAAACCUGCAGGAGCCUGGCAGUGCCCAGAAGUGCCCAGGUGUUGUGAGAUUGGACAGAGAUCUUGUACCCAAGAUUUGCAGAUUAGCAGAAGUCUCAUGAUCUGCCUCUUUCCUGGUGUGCUGGAGACACUGCUAAAAAUAGAUUUAGAUGGCAAGAGAGGAAGAUGUACCCCUGUGGCCUGGACCUGUCCUGAUAGGUAGAGGAUGCAGCCAGAAAUGCCCUGACCUUGAAGGGGAACACAAAGACACCCACUGUGCAGAUCAUGAUCCGGGAUUUCUAACAGCCAAAGGACAUGACAAACUCUUGUAGUGAUGCCAGUGACCAACUGAGUCUUCUUGUGCAUCUGCUAUAUUCCUAUUUCUCUUGUGGUGGAAGACAGCAGAAAACCCUGGUCUGGAUGGGACAGAUGAGACCUAAAGCAUGAAGUCCUGUCCUGUUAGCACCUGUGGCCUGAAUUAGUGCCACAGUCACUUCUCACCUCCCUGCAUCUUUCUCAGGGUUGGAUGCAAUUAAACACCGAAUUUUAAGGUCCUAAAGAGCAUGUCUCACACCUCUGGGCUUCAAUAGGGUUAAUGUGCUAAGUCACGGCUUAAUUAUCAGGUUCAAAUCAAAUUUAGAGGUUUUAUAAUUGGAAAACCAGGCAGUAACAAAGCUACUGCAUAAAAACAAAGCCAAAAAAAGAAUCAUAAAAUGAGUUCUAAAAAGGGCAGGAGAGAAAACAAGUACAAAUGUCAGAGGGAGCACUUGUCCCUGGGAGUGCCUUCCUUUAUCAACUGGCUGAACAGGGUUGGAAGGCCAGGAUUGCCACCUGGAUACGAGGAAAAGCUUUUUCACCCUAGGUGAGAAACACUGGGACAGAGGCCAAGAGACGUAUUGGGAUCUCCAUCCUUGGAAGUGUUCAAAACUCAACUGGACAAGGAAAGAAGCAGCCUGAUCCAGCCUGGACAUGCUGGGAGCCCUUUUGGGGGCCCUGUCCUCACUGUGUCAGCCUGUGAUUCUGCCUAACUAUGAAAACAUGUUAUUUCUCUCACAAUUUCCCUUCCUUCUUUCACUUUUCUACCCUCUGAGUCCCAUCUCACCAUCCUCUUCCACUGGAGCCUCUGGGCUGUCCCAUUCCAUACUGACUUUAUAAGGCCUGUUGCAGGAGAGUCCCUCAUAAAGGAAAGGGUUUUUAGAGGAAAAGCAGUGUUAUUUGGCUCAGAGGAAUUGCUGCCCCUUCCUUGCAUAAGGGGGAAUCAGUAGGUCAGGCUUUGGAAGAGCAGGCAGUGGGACUGAGGGCAGCCUGGAGCUGGACAUCUGUGCUGUGUCGCCUUUGGAAACUCAGCUGCUGUUGCUCAGUCUCUCCUGAAAGCAGGGAAUGAUGGGGCCGUGUUGGGUCAUGCUGUGGGGUGUUCAGAAAGUUGGGAUUUGGCUGCUCUAGGACCAAGAGGAGUGGAAAGACUGGUUUCCUGGCAGAGACAACACAAAAUUACUGGUUAUUUAAAUCAGAGCUGAAUCUCGGGGAUUCACUGCAAAACACCAUAUUCAGGAAAACCUGUUUUGCUGUAACAAAGCACAGGAAUUUUAUCCUGACAAGAGCAAACCCCAUUUUUAGGCAACUAAAGCAAAAAUACAGGUUGUAACAUUUUUUUGUUUGUUUAAGAUACAUAUAUUUGUCCUCAAAUAUCUCACAAUGUAAAACUACCUGAAUGUGAACUGAGCAACAAUUCCUACCUACAUUCUUGGGGGACAAGUAUAAUAUGCACAGGAAAGAGAAAGGCUAUUUGGGUGCAUAUACAGUCUGCAAUACUUCAUUGCACAUCUCCAGCAGUGUGGGACAGGUUGACUUUUGGAAGGGGGGGGAGGUUGGUUUGGGGAGUUUUUUGCAUAAAUCCAGGAUUAGCUUUAGGAGAUGAAACAUUUAUUGAAAGAUGCAAUUUCAGAGAGUGACAGAAAGCACGUUUCAUAACUAAUCCCGCUGAAAUUUAUGUAAGAAACCUUUCCAAUUCACCUGUGCACUGGAGGAAACAAAAAAAGUAUUAUAAACUAUCAGCUUAUUUUGCUUUCCUUUUCGGCCCUUUAAUUUUCGUGGGCUGCCGUGCUAAACGUGGGACUGAAUUUACUUUUA